rnacentral:rRNA from 1 species
UUUUUUAUGAGAGUUUGAUCCUGGCUCAGGAUGAACGCUGGCGGCGUGCUUAACACAUGCAAGUCGAACGAAGCAACUUAUC